ensembl:lncRNA
AUCAGUAUGACUAGGUUGUGUGAGUUUCCAUACUAAAAGAGCUGUAGUGAUAAAAUAAUUGGCAUCAGAGACACUGAUUUUUGGCAUGGUAUACUGCAGAAGUUUUUUUUUUUUUGCAUAAUUUACCUUUUAAUUAAACUGCAUUCUCUGUAUUGUAACAAAACUAACAUUGUUUAUAUGUCAGAAAAUUAGCAAACAUGAAUAAAUGGCGAAAACAAUAUAAUUAUAACAUAUAUUUUUAUUUUACUUAUUUUAGGUCUGUGAAGCCAAACUUGAUGCUGGGGAUUUAUUUUUGUCAGUGGAGUCAAAUGAUUUCAAGACAGAGCUUAUUGUUCUCUGAACUUCCUUGUUUGCUGAACGGCAGGUUGAAGCAGAAUUUGCCCGUCUUACAUCUGUUGACCUGAAAGGGUUCCUUUUUGCUGUGCUUGACCAUUAUGGAGAGGUUCGUGGAGCUGUACAAAAUCAAGAGCGGCAUAGAAGGGCUAACUAGGCUCAUAAGAUGCUUCGGAGAUGAUAGCCCUACACAAAGGAAGAGGACAGAGGACCUCAUUUUCUAAAGGAAGAUCCUCA